rnacentral:lncRNA from 10 species
CCUCCCCACAGCUGGGGAAGCAGAGGCAGGGAGUCCACAGUUGAGGCUCCCAGCCCAGAGGGAUGACCCUCCUGCCCCUACUGAGGCAGCAUACUGAACCCCAGGGCAGCCCAGCCAAGAGAGGGACAGAGGGGUCUGGGCAGGCCCUGACACACACACCACCAUGGAGACUGCAUGAUGUGCUGGGAUUCCAUUUUAUUGCAAAUUAAACUCAAACCCAGGGGUAUUAGGAAAAGGCUAGCCCUCGCCCCUCUCACUCUCUAACUAUCCUCCCUCCCUCCAGAUCCCCAGGAUUUCAUGGCCAGGGCUGACAGGAGGGAAUGGGAAACCCAUGGGCUCUGAAGGGAUGUGCUCCCCAGCUCUGAUGAGGCCUAAACUGCUUCCCCCAGGAGGUAAAUAAGCCAACAUUCCUGGGUUGGGCCUCGACGCCAGUCCUUGGAGGUGGCAGGUACAGCACUGUGGUUUUGCAGUCUUUGGUCUUAAAGGUCUGAGGCAAGGGCAGGGGAGGGGUAGGAACUUGGAGAGCAACUGGACUUUGAGGAAGAAAAUAUCAGAAAAAAAAAAAAAUCCAGCCCAUCUGGGGCUUUUUUCGACCCUGUCAUUGCAAAACCAAAAGUAGUCCUUUUAGAUGUUUGUGUGGUAACACUAUGAAAGAUAGCAUAGAUUUAUUUCACAUUUGUAGGUUUUUAUGUCUAUAUACACAGUUAUACACAGAAAAGGCCUGAGGCUGCCUAUUGGUGAGGAGGGAAGGAAGGGAACCACUAUCUCUCUGGAACCAUUGGCCCUUGAACCACCAGCUUGUGUACAGAGAGGACACUGUGCUGUGUGUCAGAAACAAGCACGGUCAUCUACUCCCCAGUCAUAGCUGAAGAGAAGAGACACUGCCAGGAGUGGGGCUAAGAAACAGCCAAGGACCAGACGCAGUGGCUCUUGGUGAUGCUCACCACACCCUCCUUGGAAUCCUCUUUUCUCUUGGCUUCUAGGAUCCCAUGUUCCUUGGUUUUCCUUCCUCUGUCCAUCACUCCUUGGCCUCUGGAGGUCAUCUCCUCCCCCCCUUCCCAACUUCAAAUUGUCUAACAUUUCAGAACCAUCUCUGCAGACCACUGGGAAAUACACAAACCCAGCCUGGGCACCACACCACUCCAUCCAGCUGCCUCCCCGGCCUGUUCCUAGACAGAACUGUUGAUCUAUCCUUAUAAAUAUGCCAUUCUUGGCUGGAUGUGGUGGCUCACACCUGUAAUCCUAGCAUUUUUGGGAGGCUGAGGUGGGAGGACUGCUUGAGCCCAUGAGUUUGAGACCAGCCUGGGCAACAUAGGGAGAACCUGUCUUUACCAAAAAAAAAAAAAAAAAAAUUAGCCGGUCAUGGUGGCAUAUGCCUAUAGUCCCAGCUACUCGGGAAGCUGAGGCAGGAGGAUCACUUGAGCCCGAGUUUGAGACUGCAGUGAACUGUGAUCACAUCACUGUACUCCAGCCACCCUGGGUGACACAGCGAGACCCUGUCUCUAAAAACAAAAACAAAAGCAAAUAUGCCCCUCUCCCAAUCAUCCCUGUCUCAGGAAAUGAAAUCCAUCCUUCUUCCUAGGUGCCCUGUCCAGAAACCUGCCCUUCAAUCCCUGUUCUCUUCUACAUCCAGAACCUGCUCCAUCCAUAGGUCUUGUUGAUUCUUCCUCCAAAAUCCACUUCUAACUUGUCCCUUCUCUCCACACCACUGCCUGGCGGCCUUGUCCAGGCCACCUUUAUCUUUUGCCUGGACGAGUGCAGUUGCUUCCUGACUGCACACUGGGUUUCCAUUCUUAACCUCUCUUAACCAGAGGGGGGCUUUUAAAAAUAUACCACUUUAGUGAGCCGAGAUCAUGCCACCGCACUCCAGCCUGGGAGACAGAGCAAGACUCCAUCUCAAAAAAAAAAAAAACAAAAAUACUGCUUUAGACCCCUCCACAACCACCCACUCCUCUAAGGCCAGUGCCAGAAUUCCUUUGAGGUCUGCCAAAUGCCCAGGGCUACUGACCUCUCUGGUGGCCACUUGUGUCUCCCUUCCUUCCUAGUAACACCACCCUUCUCUCUGGGUUCCUCCAGAGUGCCAGGUUCCCAUCCCCCGGGUCCUUUGCCCGUGCUGUCCCUUCUUCCAGAAUAUUCCCAGCUGCCCUCCCAAUGCUUUACCUGGCCUGUUUCAUUUCCCCUUUGGCCUUAGCUUAACCAUCCAUUCCCAGGAAGUCCCUUCUUUUCUGUCAUUGCUCCCUGUUUGUUCUCUCCAUUCCAUGCUCCACAGAUUACAAAUCUCUGCUUCUAUCUGUGUAGUUCUCUUGCUUCAUCCUCUCUCCACCCCCCUUCUCAUGCACGUUCCCUGAGGGCAGGAAAGGUAACUAACUUCUUCAUGUCUGAAUCCCAGAGAUGGGUACAGUGCCUGACACCCAGCAAGUGCACCACACAGUUGGGCAGUGAAUAAGAAAGAGCAGGUUCCCAGGCAGAGAGGGCAGUGGAGCCAGCCCUUGGGCACCUUUUAGGUGAUUAAAACAGCUGCCUUUGACAUCCUUUCCUCCCAAGAUCCUGUGAUUCUAUGACCUUGCCCAGCCCACUAUGCACAGGAUCUCAGAAUGGGGGCAGAGGGGUGCAAAAGCAAGGUGAUGCCCUUCUGGAAUUUUGUCAGAUCCUUUCCAUGUACAUCGAAGCUGCCUAUCCUGCCCAUUCUGCAGAACAAAAGGCAGGUAGGUAGAGCCCAGGAAGGUGGAGAUUCUAAAACGGCUCUGUCCAACACAGCAGCCACUGGCCACUGCAGCUAUUGUAAAUGCAGCUGUUUAAAUUACUUAGAAUUAAAUAAAACAUUAGCAUUCAGCUCACACUAGGCACUUUUCAAGUGCUUAGUAGCCA